AGAGGCAUCGUCGAAUGGCUAAGACUGUGGUCUCCAAAACCGCCAAUGGGGGUUCGAAUCCCUCUGCCUCUG
rnacentral:tRNA from 2 species